AAGCAUAACUAGAUGGCGACCUCAUUGCAGGUCUUAUCAGUGUCUAAACACCGAAAUCCACAGCCACCUGCCCUGACAACUCACGCUUGCUAUAAAUAAGUGGGUAACAUUCUGCCCUGAGAGGUGAAAAUUCUGGUUGUCUAUUAAAAGUAAAACCAACAACCACAAAAACCCAUUGUUGGCCCAUUCUCCCAUCUUAGAAAAGACUUUCAACUUCAGAUUUAGAUGCCUACAGAGUGGCCCAAAGAAAAGCAGUGUCUAAACAAAAUUUAAGAACCAACGUGACAUAGAAGUAUCCCCAAACUCUCUUCCCACACUCUUUCAGUGCUAAGUGGAAGCUGUUCGCCAAUAUCUAAACACUUUUGAUUUACCCAUGAAUUUCUUUUUGACAUUUGAGACCAUGUUGUACAUCUAAUCAAUGUAUCAACAAAACAAGUACUGCUAUAUAAAGCACAAAAAAAGGUGGCCACAGAUAGAAAACUGUAUAUCAGGUCAAGGAAAUUCUAAUGAACUGGAGAAUAUAGACAGGUACCCAAACAAGGACGGAAGAUAAAUUCAAGAUGAAUAAAUUCUAUGACAUAAUAUAAGUAUAUAAUUAAAGAGUUAAGACACACUCGUUCACUUUUCUAAAGUUUCAAAUGACAGUUCCCAUCAUGGCUCAGCAGUAAUGAAUCAACUAGUAUCCAUGAGGACCUAGGUUUGAUCCCUGGCCCGCCUCAGUGGGUGAAGGACCCAGCAUUUCUUUUUCUCACGUUCUUCCUCCAUCACGUUCCAUCACAAGUGAUUAGAUAUAGUUCCCUGCACUAUACAGCAGGAUCUCAUUGCUUAUCAACUCCAAAUGGACAGACAAGGUGGGGGAUUUCUGCUCAGAGCCAGAGUCAGAAGUGCCAAAAUCUAAACCUGACAAACAGGCUGGAAAAGGCCUCUCGCAUCUCCAUUGGAAUUCAAAGCAGCAAGCCCACUAGAGGCCAUCCGGUCCAGACUUCCCAACUGGAUUUUAACCUCAAGGUGAGAAAGCGGAUCCAAUCCUAAAAAUAUCAAGCCAAUCCAUAUAGGCAGUGUGGGACUCCAUGAGGCCCAACAACGGCUCUGUCCUGGCCAAACUAACAAAAGUUUUCAGUCCUUGAUAGUAACAUUGCAAUACUGAACAUGCUCUAACAGAAAUGAUUGGACACAUGAGGAGUGAAAAUUCUGAAUCCCAAAUCUCUGCUCAAGGGAUGGAUUUCCUCAUUUGAAUGUCUUUUGGGAACCCCCCCCCAGUUAUGGAGUCAAGCAAUCCAAACUUGCACUUGUCCACUUCCAAGGAACUCCAUCUCUGCCCCCCAACACAAAUCAGCAGAUUCUAUCAUUGGACAGCCCAGGCUGCUGGGGAGAGUUUUCUGAGUUUCAAGAUGACCCUCAGUCCCUGGUAGCUUUUAUCCUCUGACUCCAGUUCAGGACCAUGGACAAUAAAUCUAGGUCCUCUUCUGCAUGACAGCCCCUCCUACUCACGCUGGGGAGAAGACAGCCUCAUAACAUAAACUGCACACAACCAGUGAGAUGAUUAAUGUAGUUCAGGAACCUUACCCUACCCCAUUUCUAAAAAGUUUUUUUUUUUUUUUUAAGCACUGUUCUGAAAUUACCCUAAACACGUACAGUAAGCAGACUGAUACCUGAUCUGACUUCUAUUUCUCAGAUCAGACCCAAAGAAGGAGAUGCCAAAAAAAAAAAAAGAAAGAAAAGAAAAAUCUCUUUGACUUCAACUCAAUCACUUCCCAAGGCACUGCCUUCUUCCUUCCAAACACAGGUCCUUGACACGCAGGUGGUAUGCAAUGAUUAUUUAGUAAAUGAAACAUGUCCGUGAUCUUCCCAAAAGUAGGAUGGAUGGAUGUCAUCUCCUUGACAGGUUUUUUUCUCCCACUUGGCUAAUCUGUAAGUGUCAGAAGCAUAUAUGACAACCGUCCCAAGGGAUAUGUAAAUUAUAGCAUAUAGGCCCUUUGUGUUAAAGACUGAGAUAAAUAAGUUGUCAGCUUUUCUCUGAGUUUCCUGGAAUACUAGUGUCCUAUGAGAUAUUAAUGGGUGCUUCAUGAAAUGUACACUGUAUAUUAAGCAAGGAUGCUAAACAUUCUAAGAAUAGAGGUGAAACCUGUUUAGGUUUGGGGAACACAAGGCCAAAGUCCUUAGCAGGAGCACUUUGCUCCCGGAGCAUCUUAUUCUUGUCCUGGGAAUAUGAUCCAUUCCCCAGUUUAGCAAACAGGGCUUGGAGCUACACAAGGUUUCUUCAGGUUUACAUGCGAAAAGGGGUUGCUAGUGGAAGCAUCAGGAAAUGAGAUGCUUUCCAAGCUUUUCCAACAACUGUAGGUGAACUUUCAAGUGACAAUUUUACUUGUUUAAAAAUAAUAAAGUAAAAUCACACACUAUAACUUUAUCAUACAAAAUCAAAGUAUCUUCUCCAAAAGCUUCAGGAAAAAAAAAAAAAAAAAA
rnacentral:lncRNA from 1 species